UACGUAGGUGGCGAGCGUUAUCCGGAAUGAUUGGGCGUAAAGGGUGCGUAGGCGGACGAUCAAGUCCGGAGUGAAAGAUGUCAGCUCAACUGAUAUAGGCUCUGGAAACUGGUCGACUAGAGGACAGGAGAGGGCGGUGGAACUCCAUGUGUAGCGGUAAAAUGCGUAGAGAUAUGGAAGAACACCAGUGGCGAAGGCGGCCGCCUGGACUGAACCUGACGCUGAGGCACGAAAGCGUGGGGAGCAAACAGG
rnacentral:rRNA from 1 species